CUCCACUCGUCCCUCCCCAGUCCCGGUGGGCCUCCUCUCUGCCCUCCUUUCCUGAUUUCCCCGAUGCACAGGCCUCUUCGCGACCUGCUCACAGUCUAGCUCGGCUCCUCCCUGUGGUUCGCUGUCGUCAUCCCCCACCCCUCUGGGGGCCCUGGAAUGUUGGGUGUCGAAUGUCCCGCGUGGAGGCAAACCCACAGACCCCGACACCUCAAGCUGAGGUGCCGCCUCGGUGGCCUCCGUGUUUUACUUUGUGUACUCUCACGACGUGUCUCUGUUCCUGCACCUUUAACUCGGUGUUUGUCCUUUUCCACCUCCGUCCCUGCCCUCUCACCCUGGAAGGGAGGGAGCCAAGGCCUCCAGCCCCUUGCAGAAGGGGAGGGGAAAUGGCCUUUAUGGUGGUCCGUGGCUCCGUCUGGCCGAGGAUGGGGUUUUGGACCGGACAAGGAGGUGAACCUGGCUCCCAGGGGAGGCAGGAAGAUGUCGCACCACAGAGCCCACCUACUGGGCUGAGCCCUGGUCAUUACCCCUGCUCCGCUGCCCGCCUCGGUGCCGCCGGAAGUCUCUUGGGUUGGACCGCUUUGGAGGUUCUGGGCUCUGCUGGGAAAAGCUGAAGAGGCAGAGAGAAAAGCACAGGUCCCUGUUCACCCCGCGGCCGCUGCCGUCACCCUAAGAAAGGGACUGGGAGCCCUCAGGUGGUCGGAGUGUUUGGAAUCCUCUGAAUCCAGGGUGAAAGUCUUGCAACAGGAAUAAAACUUUACGUCAGA